GACGGGCCAAAUUUGUGCCAUAAUUUAAACCCCCCAAAAUAGAUGAUACAUAAACUGAUCACGAAUGCUUUGAUAUAUGUUAUGAAAUGAUUUGUGUGAGUGAUAAUUUUUUUUCAUUUUCUCGCUUAGAGGGACCAUUAAGAAACAUGAUCCCCGCUGUUACCGGGUUAAUCUUAACUGAACCAGAAAACGGAAAUAAAAGUAACAGCAGCAUGAGCAUCAAACAGAGGCGGUGCAGGGCCGGAGUGCUUGUGUCCAUUAGGCAGCAAACGGGACCACCCUUGUGUGCAUGUUACUGAGACUUGAUGCCUCUGAAGCUCCUUGUCUGAAUAAACACUUUUGCAAUACUAGUCAGGCUUCAACUCACCUCCUUAUACCUCAUUUCCAUAUUACACCUCCUUAUACCUCACUUCCAUCUCUUUAGUAUCCCAACAUUACUAUUAUUAUUAUUGUUGUUGCAGAUCCAGGAGUUGGGGAGUUCCAUGAGGUUGAGACAACUCACCGUGACAUUUGCAAACCUCUUGAUAGGAACAGUGACACCUUCCAGAAGCUGCUGCUCUUUUUGAAAACACACUUUCAUCUAAUGUAGUCAGUACAAAGAUAUAUUGUUGAUGUUUUCAAAGUGUAUAAUUUUGUUAAGUGAUGUAAAGAUUUGUUUGUUAUACCAAAUAUAUUUUUU